AUUCUGCCCAAGCGGGGAAGGAUGAGAAGCUUCGACCAAGGUUCGACUUGAGCGCCAGCGAGAGAGCGUUGCCGCAGGCAACGACCCGAAGCGCGCAGCGCUGAGUAAUCCUUCCCCCACCACCA
rnacentral:sRNA from 1 species